UUAAAAUAAUAAAUAAUAAUAUAAUACUUUUAUUCAGCAAGCAUGUUAAAUUGCUAAAUCCUUUAUAUUUCCAUAUUAAAAGUUUAGUGAGUAAUACGAUAAUAAAAGUCUCUUAUGCUCAUUAAGGCUGCAUUUAUUCGAUCAAAACUACCGUAAAAACACUGAGAAAUAUUAUUACUAUUUGAAAUAACGGUUUUCUAUUUUAAUACACUCUGCAAAAUAAUUAAUUCAUGUGAUGGCAAAGCUGAAUUUUAAUCAGCCAUUACUCCAGUCUUCAUUUUCACGUUUCAGAUUUUUUUAUUUAAAAAUAAAUAAAUAAAUAAUAAUAAUACUUUUAUUCAGCAAGCAUGUUAAAUUGCUGUUUAGACUUAAUUGUUUUAAACAUUUUAUCCAUCAAAGAAACCUUUAAAAAGUAUCACAGGUUCCAAAAAAUAUUAAGAAGCACAAUUGUUUUCAACGUUGAUAAUAUUAAAUAAACAAAUAACAUUGGUAAUGUUAAAAUAUAAACCCGUUAUAUUAAAUUGUAAUAAUAUUUAACAAUACGACAGUAUGUUUUACUGUAUUUUGAUCAAAUAAAUGCAGCCAUGUUUAUACAUUUAAUAUUAUUAUUAUUAUUUAACUUUAACUGAGGUGCGUCUCAGAGUAAUGGCGACCUCUAACGGUAGAACAGAUGAAAAGCACCCAGAAGAAAGAGACGAGCGGAAAGAAGGAUAGUUAUUUUAAGAGAACGAACUACACCAAGCGCUGGAAAAGGAUGUGGCUUCAUAUCAGAGACGGACAGCUGGUCUAUAGUUUUAAUGAAAAGCAGAAAAGUCCAUUAAUCUGGUUGGAGCAAAGGUGGAGCUGCUGGAGGGUGAUGAUGGACCCUCGCACCGAAGCACAGCAGCGCAGAAGAGCAGCAGGCCUGGAUGAGCGCUGUAUGUGAGGCACAGCUCCAGUGCAUGUGUUGUGCAAUAACAAAACCAUUUUCCUUUUUUUCCACCAUAGUUUUCUACACUGUAUUGUUUUACUUCCUUCUUGAAACUGAGACUGUGACAGUGUUUUG
rnacentral:lncRNA from 1 species